rnacentral:rRNA from 1 species
UGGGGAAUAUUGCACAAUGGGCGCAAGCCUGAUGCAGCCAUGCCGCGUGUAUGAAGAAGGCCUUCGGGUUGUAAAGUACUUUCAGUCGGGAGGAAGGCGAUAAGGUUAAUAACCUUGUCGAUUGACGUUACCCGCAGAAGAAGCACCGGCUAACUCCGUGCCAGCAGCCGCGGUAAUACGGAGGGUGCAAGCGUUAAUCGGAAUUACUGGGCGUAAAGCGCACGCAGGCGGUCUGUCAAGUCGGAUGUGAAAUCCCCGGGCUCAACCAGGGAACUGCAUUCGAAACUGGCAGGCUAGAGUCUUGUAGAGGGGGGUAGAAUUCCAGGUGUAGCGGUGAAAUGCGUAGAGAUCUGGAGGAAUACCGGUGGCGAAGGCGGCCCCCUGGACAAAGACUGACACUCAGGUGCGAAAGCGUGGGGAGCAAACAGG